UACGUAGGGUGCGAGCGUUAAUCGGAAUUACUGGGCGUAAAGCGUGCGCAGGCGGUUAUGUAAGACAGUUGAUGAAAUCCCCGGGCUCAACCUGGGAAUUGCAUCUGUGACUGCAUAGCUAGAGUACGGUAGAGGGGGAUGGAAUUCCGCGUGUAGCAGUGAAAUGCGUAGAUAUGCGGAGGAACACCGAUGGCGAAGGCAAUCCCCUGGACCUGUACUGACGCUCAUGCACGAAAGCGUGGGAG
rnacentral:rRNA from 1 species